UAUUUUUCACAGACUUGCUAGUUACGACGAAAUCGAUGACAAGCCAAGAUACUCAACACCAAUACACAGACCAGAUUUGGACGAACAUCGAGGGCCAAUACAUCACCAUUACCCAUCUAGUCGAUCUGAAGAACCUUUUCMAACGGUAAGUUUUCUUUUUCUCAUUUUAUUCGAUUUUUUUUUU